GGUGAGAUGGCCGAGUGGUUAUGGCGCUGCGUUCAGGUAAAAUUCUGAACAUUUCCUUUGCUUUCCUUUCGGAAAAUGUGAAAGAGAGAAAAAAAUUCGCAGUGGAGCAAUCCGCGUGGGUUCGAGUCCCACUCUCAUCA